AGGUCCCGCCUGCCCUGUGAUUUAUUUAACGGCCGCGGUAUCAUGACCGUGCGAAGGUAGCGUAAUCAAUUGUCUUUUAAUUGAAGGACCGUAUGAAAGGCAUCACGAGAGUUUAACUGUCUUUAUUUUCCAAUCGAUGAAAUUGAUCCUCUCGUGCAGAACCGAGAAUAAAAACAUAAGACGAGAAGACCCUAUGGAGCUUUUAAACACUUAAGUUAAUCACUACUCCACAAACAUAUUAACCUUCGGGCAUAAUAAUUAAAAAGUGAUCCUUAACUUAACUUGCUUUUGGUUGGGGCGACCGAGGGGAAAAACAAAACCCCCUUAUCGAUUGUGUAAAUUACUCAAAAUUAGAAUUACAAUUCUAAUUAAUAGAAAAUCUAACGAACAAUGACCCAGGACUCCUUCCUGAUCAAUGAACCAAGUUACCCUAGGGAUAACAGCGCAAUCCUUUCCUAGAGCCCCCAUCACAGAAAGGGUUUACGACCUCGAUGUUGGAUCAGGACAUCCUAAUGGUGCAGCCGCUAUUAAGGGUUCGUUUGUUCAACGAUUAAUAGUCCUACGUGAUC
rnacentral:rRNA from 1 species